UCCGUAGGUGAACCUGCGGAAGGAUCAUUACUGAGUUCGUGCCCUAACGGGUAGAUCUCCACCCUUGAAUAUAAACUCUUGUUGCUUUGGCGGGCCGCUUAGGCUACUGGCUUCGGCUGGUGAGUGCCCGCCAGAGAACCCUAAACUUUGAAUUACAGUAUUGUCUGAGUACUAUAUAAUAGUUAAAACUUUCAACAACGGAUCUCUUGGUUCUGGCAUCGAUGAAGAACGCAGCGAAAUGCGAUAAGUAAUGUGAAUUGCAGAAUUCAGUGAAUCAUCGAAUCUUUGAACGCACAUUGCGCCUGCUGGUAUUCCGGUAGGCAUGCCUGUUUGAGCGUCAGCAAAAACCUCUCAACAGUUUUAUUAUUGUUGGUUAUGGGCUGCGGAGGACUAGCUAUUAUGGCUGCUCCCGCCUUAAAACUUGCUGCACGACCGCAAGCUUAUGCUAGGUUUAUUGGAGUGGUGUUUACAUUUUAUUCCUACAACCAUUCAUAGCUUGGUGGCGUUAAAUUUGAUGUUGCCUUUGCGCAACUGAAGUUUGACCUCAAAUCAGGACAAGGGGGAUACCCGGCUGGAACUUAAGGCAUAUCAAUAAGGCGGGAGGGAAGGUCGGACUGGCCAAGGGGCACACAGGGGGGGGAUA
rnacentral:rRNA from 1 species